rnacentral:rRNA from 1 species
GUCUAUGGCCAUGCCACCCUGAACGUGCCCGAUCUCGUCUGAUCUCGGAAGCUAAGCAGGGUCGGGCCUCGUUAGUACUUGGAUUGGAGACCACCUAAGAAUACCAGGUGCAGUAGGCA